rnacentral:rRNA from 1 species
AGUGAACGCUGGCGGUAGGCCUAACACAUGCAAGUCGAACGGCAGCACAGUAAGAGCUUGCUCUUACGGGUGGCGAGUGGCGGACGGGUGAGGAAUACAUCGGAAUCUACUUUUUCGUGGGGGAUAACGUAGGGAAACUUACGCUAAUACCGCAUACGACCUACGGGUGAAAGCAGGGGAUCUUCGGACCUUGCGCGAUUGAAUGAGCCGAUGUCGGAUUAGCUAGUUGGCGGGGUAAAGGCCCACCAAGGCGACGAUCCGUAGCUGGUCUGAGAGGAUGAUAACCCACACUGGACCUGGAGGACGGUCCGGACUCCUGCGGGAGGCAGCAGUGGGGGAUAUUGGACAAUGGGCGCAAGCCUGAUCCAGCCAUACCGCGUGGGUGAAGGAGGCCUUCGGGUUGUAAAGCCCUUUUGUUGGGAAAGAAAAGCAGCAGGUUAAUACCCCGAUGUUCUGACGGUACCCAAAGAAUAAGCACCGGCUAACUUCGUG